rnacentral:rRNA from 1 species
GACCUGAGAGGGUGAUCGGCCACACUGGGACUGAGACACGGCCCAGACUCCUACGGGAGGCAGCAGUAGGGAAUCUUCCGCAAUGGACGAAAGUCUGACGGAGCAACGCCGCGUGAGUGAUGAAGGUUUUCGGAUCGUAAAGCUCUGUUGUUAGGGAAGAACAAGUGCAAGAGUAACUGCUUGCACCUUGACGGUACCUAACCAGAAAGCCACGGCUAACUACGUGCCAGCAGCCGCGGUUAUACGUAGGUGGCAAGCGUUGUCUGGAAUUAUUGGGCGUAAAGGGCUCGCAGGCGGUUUCUUAAGUCUGAUGUGAAAGCCCCCGGCUCAACCGGGGAGGGUCAUUGGAAACUG